rnacentral:tRNA from 1 species
CCGCCAUUAGCUCAUCGGGAUAGAGCGCCAGCCUUCGAAGCUGUCUGCGCGGGGUUCGAGUCCUCGAUGGCGGUCCA